GGAGGUGUAGCUCAGCCUUAGAGCACUCGCCUGGCAAUUGUGAGGCCCUGGGUUCGAUCCUCAGCACCACAU
rnacentral:tRNA from 1 species